GAUAAGAUGUCUGAAUUAUAAGUAAUAAACUGUAAAUUUAUUCAUGGGUAAAUCCCUCUUAUUA
rnacentral:tRNA from 1 species